rnacentral:ncRNA from 1 species
UGUAUUUUGCCGCCGGGCAAAAUAAAGACGCCCCUGCUUGUAUCGUAGGCCUUAGAAGAUACAGGCAACGGGCGUCUUUAUUUU